AUCUAUCUCGCCUGGUUGGAUAACGCCUUCAACCGCCUAUGGGCAGACUAUUGCGAUCCCAUUCUCUGUCGCUUGUGUAUUUGUGCCGGUCAGUGCACCUGUUGUGUGCGUGUUACCCUUUAUUGUGAGCCGCCCGUCAUUGUUCGUCGCUUGCUGUCCUGACUCAUGCGUUUCGAUUACAGUUCACUGACAUGUGGCUCAACAGUUAGUGUUAGGGUUCUUGGCUGCGGGUGGUUUCACCGCGUCAAGGC